rnacentral:rRNA from 1 species
CAAUAGCGUAUAUUAAAGUUGUUGCGGUAAAAAAGCUCGUAGUUGGAUUUCUGUUGAGAGCGACCGGUCCAUACCAUGUAUGCGUAUCUGGCUUGCUCUCGGCAUCCUCUCGAUAGACGUUGCUGCGCUUGAUUGCGUGGCGCGGAUCUCGGGACUUUUACUUUGAGGAAAUUAGAGUGUUCACGGCAGGCUUUCGCCAGAAUACAUUAGCAUGGAAUAAUACUAUAGGAUCUUGGUUCUAUUUUGUUGGUUUCUAGAAUUGAGAUAAUGAUUAAUAGGGACAAUUGGGGGCAUUCGUAUCAACACGUCAGAGGUGGAAUUCUUGGAUUGUGUUGCGACGAACUACUGCGAAAGCAUUUGCCAAGGAUGUUUUCAUUGAUCAAGAACGAAAGUAAGGGGAUCGAAGACGAUCAGAUACCAU